rnacentral:rRNA from 1 species
AGCUCCAAUAGCGUAUAUUAAAGUUGUUGCGGUAAAAAGCUCGUAGUUGGAUUUCUGUUGAGGACGACCGGUCCAUACCACGUAUGCGCAUCUGGCUCGGCCUCGGCAUCCUCUCGCGAAACGUUUCUGCGCUUGAUUGCGUGGAGCGGGUCUCGGGACUUUUACUUUGAGGAAAUUAGAGUGUUCACGGCAGGCUAUCGCCCGAAUACAUUAGCAUGGAAUAAUACUAUAGGAUUUCGCACCUAUUUUGUUGGUUUCUAGGCGUGAAAUAAUGAUUAAUAGGGACAAUUGGGGGCAUUCGUAUCAACACGUCAGAGGUGGAAUUCUUGGAUUGUGUUGCGACGAACUACUGCGAAAGCAUUUGCCAAGGAUGUUUUCA